ensembl:lncRNA
GUGUAGACUAGAGUGUAGGCUGAAAACUGCAUCGAUAGCUUCUGUAUUUUUAUAAUUUGCGUAGUUUGAAGCAAAUGAAUAGGUAAUGGACACCGAUUAAUUGAUAGAGAUCAUACAUAAACUUCAUUCCGUUUUUAUCUGAACAGUUAUCAAUUGGAAAUGUCAAACCAACUCUGAUUAAGCAGAGAUCAGAACUUGCCAGAAGAAGGUUGAGAAAGUCUUGAUUAACAAUGGCGAAGUUAACAACAUAGCAACCUAUUGGAAAUUAGUUCACUCCGUUUCAUGUCAGAAGAAACUCGUGGGGAGUAAAGCAAGAAAAUAAAAAAAGGUGCAUUUUGUCUAUUAAUUUGCUGGCAAGAGUUCUGGAAGAAAAAUGAUAAAGCAGUUAUAGACACUCCUGGUCUUUGUGCUCCUCUUACUCUGCCUCUGGCACCAUGAUCCCCUGGUUACCCGAGUGCUACAUUGUCAUGGGGGCUGUGCCGAGGUGGACUCCAUGACAGAGGCGGUGGCCGGGGAGAGCUUCCUCAUGGACUGAAUCUCCUGUAAGAGGAGGUCCAGGCCCAUACCACGGUUGACUGGCACUUCAGAGCCACAGGAGAGGAGGAGUACAUCCGCAUAAAUAGAGGGUCCGGUUAGCCCUGACCAUUAUCCGUUUCGAAUUCAUCAACUCAAAGACGCUUGCCCGCUCCAUCAAAACUCCAUCAUAAUGUACGUGCUGAUCGUGGUGCUGCAGCUGUGGAUGUUUGUGGUGCUGAUCCACUGCUACAACAAGAUCUGGGCUGAACACGAGGCGUGGGACGCCCGCAAAACCUUGAGGGCCCAAGAACUGGCCCUAAUAAACGAACCUUUAGACUCAAAGGACAAUUGUGAUGGAGUGCUUCUGGAGUGACUUGUUAUGGUAAACAUCAAAGGUGGAGAACUCUGUCACAAGCAGGUGUUACCACUACACUAGUAGGCUAUUACAUCAUAGAAACAUCAUUUGAAUGUCUUAGCAUAGUGUGUAACACAUGCGGUUUACAAUGUACUUGAUUUACUGUACGAGGUAGUUGCAGCUGGCGUGAGUGGUGAUUAGAUUGACAGGUGGUGCCGAACAGCCUUAGUGUGUCAACUCAACAGAGAAUGUCAUCACGUGAUGGAUCAACAGUUCUGACAAAGCUCUGAUUACAGAUGGUUCCACCUAAGCUACAUAGAACGCUUUGGCAGGAACAACCAUGCAUCUACAUAGAUAGAUCUCAUCUACGACCAUGUUGUUAAAGUUUAUUUUAAUCGCUUUGGUGCUAUUUUCACAACUCUUAAUCCAAAACUCCAAGCUGGUCACACAUGUAAUGCAGCAAGUCUUUCAUUCAAAACCUGUCAUUGUGCAUUCAUUUCGAUUAUAAACAUCUCUCACCACUCAA